rnacentral:rRNA from 1 species
AAGCUCGUAGUUGAAUUUCGAGAUCAUUACGCUGGUCGUGCCUUCGGUAUGCACUGGUGUCACUGGUUUCUCCCUUCUGAAGAACCGUCAUGUCAUUAAGUUGGUGUGGCGGGGAAUCAGGACUGUUACUUUGAAAAAAUUAGAGUGUUUAAAGCAGGCUCGCGCUUGAAUACAUUAGCAUGGAAUAAUGAAAUAGGACGUUUGACCCUAUUUUGUUGGUUUCUAGGAUCGACGUAAUGAUUAAUAGGGAUAGUUGGGGGCAUUAGUAUUCAAUUGUCAGAGGUGAAAUUCUUGGAUUUAUUGAAGACUAACUACUGCGAAAGCAUUUGCCAAGGAUGUUUUCAUUAAUCAAGAACGAAAGUUAGGGGAUCGAAGACGAUCAGAUACCGUCGUAGUCUUAACCAUAAACUAUGCCGACUAGGGAUCGGAUGAUGUUAAUUUUUUAAUGACUCAUUCGGCGCCUUACGGGAAACCAAAGUGUUUGGGUUCCGGGGGGAGUAUGGUCGCAAGGCUGAAACUUAAAGGAAUUGACGGAAGGGCACCACCAGGGGUGGAGCCUGCGGCUUAAUUUGACUCAACACGGGGAAA